UUUUUCUUCUAAAAAUUUUGCAAUUUCAGAUCUUACAUACAACUCUUUCUUUUUCCUUUCAGUACCAAUCAGCCUUUUUUCAUCGUAUUUUCCCAGGGAAAGGAGAAGGGAAGAGAAAAGAGUCAGCAUGCCUUACAAAAUGAUUAGAAAAUGGGAAAGGAGGUUCCAGGUACAGCAAAAUCAACCAUCAAAUAAACACACCCAGUGAUGAAGUCACAAAAGCAUGGAGGGGCUCAGUUUCCUGCAGUUCAGGAAUGAGGGGAGGGUAUCAGGAAAAGAAAGGGCAGACAAGAAAAUGGAGGCAAAGAACAUUGGAGUCACUCCCUGGCUACACACGCUGAGGUGAUAACCAAGGCAAGACUUGAACACCACUCUCUUUCUGAUUGCAAACCUGGUUCUUUUCUUAUUAUAAUGUUAUAGUAAAUAGCAAAUGUCAUAAAUUGUUAUUUACUUACUUUCAUGCUGCUCCCACUGGGCAAAAAGAACAAAGAAGAAAUAAGAGGAGGAGGAGAGCAAGAGAUAGAGGCAGGAGCUGUACUGGAAGUCUACAAUAACUCAUGGAGGGAGGAAAUGUCUUAUAGAAGAGGCAUUAGAUUGAACAUCCCGUGGUGUUUUCUACCCCUCGGUUUCUGGAAAACCAUAUACUUUCAUUUAUAAACUCUAUGCCCAGAUCCCAAAGUAGGAAUCAAGAGCUCCUUUGAGGACAUGCAACCCUUCUCAGAAGUGACUCACAUAACAGGAUGAGGUGCUCAAAAAGGGCCGGUGUGCAGCAGUGAGUGCCAGUUUGAAUGAAGGAAGCAUGCGUGGCCUGAAGCCUCACCGUGUUCCAGGCGUCCAGUUAAGUGCUCUGCACAUAAUAUCGCACAUUGCGCUCCACGAUAAGAACAAAUUCUCACAUGGGAACCGAGCAAAGUGUAAUGGAUGUUCCCAGGAGCUGCCUAUGGGAUUCAAGAAAACUGUAUGAGAGGAGUAACAUUUGGGCUGGAAGCGAAAAUACAAGUAAACAUAUGUCAAAUGGGUAAGUAUGGAAAGUGCAUUCCAGUAGAAAAAAGCAAGUGUAAAAAUACAAAAUAGGCCAUUUAGAGCAUAGCAAUUAAUUUGGUGCUUCAGGACUACAGCAAGGUGUUUCUUUCCCCACCCAAAAGUCUAGCAGUAGAAUUACAGUCAUGAGUCACUUAAUGACAGGGAUACAUUCUGAGAAAUGCCUCUCUCUAUGAUUUUAUCGUAGUGUGCACUUACAUAAACUUAAAUGGUAUAGCCUACUAUAUACCUAGGCUAUGUGGCAUAGCCUGUUGCUCUUGGGCUAUAAACCUGUUCAGCAUGUUACCGUACUGAAUACUGUCGGCAAUUAUAACACAAUGGAAAGUAUUUGUGUAUCUAAAUGUAGAAAAGGUACAGUAAAGGUGCAGUACUAUGGACCACUGUCCCAUAAGAUUGUAUGUGGUGCAUUAUUGACCAAAGCAAGAUAUGUGUGCUGCAUGACUCUAUAGUACUGUCUCAUGAAAUCAACACAGGUCCGGAGCAGCAGACAGUCAAGAGCACGUUCACAGAUCAGAAUAGCUCCCUCUUUGCCAAUCUUAGCUUGAGCUUGAGUGAAUUCAUUAAUUGACUGCUUUAACAUAUCCAGAGGCAGAAUUGGCACAUAAAAGGUGAGUGGAUCAGCCAUGGAUUGGCAUCUGGUUUAUAAAUCAGUCUUGCUUACUUGGUUAAUGUGAGACUGUCAUGAAAGAUACAACCUUUCUAUUUUGAUGAUGAUAAAUUAAGGUUUCCAAACCGGUAAGGAGCAAACUAAGGAUAGAGGAUAAUUUACAAAGAAAAUGCCACCUUGUGAGAAAUGACCAGCUAGCUCUUCCCUUAUGCCAUGGUUUGGCUAUUUGCAAAAUAUCCCUUUACUUUGAGUUUUUGUAUUUGGUGUGGCUAAAAAGUAGGAUUUCUUGAAUGUGGGCAUGGCAUGUAUGAAUAGUAGGGCCAGAAGAAGAGUGUGGAAGCUAGACGUUUGAGGAAAAGCAGCCCCAAUUUUGCAUGCUUUAUAUACUGGGCAGGAGUAAAGCUUCCAGGCUGUGAGUGGGGAUGAAAGACAAAUUAGAAAAAUCACUUUGCUUCAACAAACAUUAUUUGUGUGGACUACGGAGAUGUGGGCUCAGCAAGAUGACAACAGCUUUAUCAUGUUCUCCAGGAGGUCACUAUAUAGUGGGAAACAGAUGAGGGUCUCAGAAUUGCAGGACAAGUCCAACAACAGGUACCAGCAUGAGACAUGGCAAUCUGACUGAUCAUCCACAUAAGAAGAGAUUGGGAGGCCAACUGAACCCAAUCUGACAGCCUCUCCCUGGCAGGUUGGGCAAGGAGGUGGGCUCUGUAGUUAAUAUCCAGUUCCACUUCUCAUGCCCCUCUUGGUCCUGUGGACCCUCAGCCCAGCACCUCCAAGAAAAUGUUCUGGGAGGAUGAGGUUGCAUCUCACCAUCUCCCUGGUCCUGUGGACCCUCAGCCCGGCACCUCCAAGAGGAUGUUCUGGGAGGAUGAGGUUGCAUCUCACCAUCUCCCUGGUCCUGUGGACCCUCAGCCCGGCACCUCCAAGAGGAUGUUCUGGGAGGAUGAGGUUGCAUCUCACCAUCUCCCUGGUCCUGUGGACCCUCAGGCCGGCACCUCCAAGAGGAUGUUCUGGGAGGAUGAGUUUGCAUCCCACCAUCUCCCUGUGGGUAUUCUCCACAUCAGUUUCCUCUGAUGGUUCAAUUGUCAACGGGUGUCCAGCCGUGUCAUCUUUCAGAAGUUGACUGAAGUUCUAUACUGGCUGACAGUCAAUCCCUCCUCCUUCCCUUUUGGGACAAUUUUGGUUUAUGGAUUUUUUUUUUUUUUUUUUUGAGUGUGAGUUCAAUAGUUCUUAAGGCAGAGGAGAGGUAAGAGGGUUCGUCCAGCCUGUCAUAUUUUUGCAUUGCUCAUUUCACCCUCACUCCAUCCUGGAAAGGCAGGUAAUAUUAUUAAUCUAAUUUAAAAGAUAAGUGUGCCUCUGUGAGUUAGGAAGCUUGCCAAGGCGGCACAGCUGUAAAAGGCAGAGCCAGGCUGGAUCCCCCAGCAGCCCCCACUGUGCUUCCUUGUGCAAAGUGGGCUAAGGCCAGGGGGUGUGCAGCAGGGUGCAGCCCUUGUGAGCUCAAGGAGGUUGAUGUGGUUGGUGGGCCUCUAGAAGAACCUUGCAGGGUGAAAGUGUGUCUUAAAGCCGUGGUUCCCAUACUUUGCUGAAUAUUAGCGCUUUUAAAAAUCCCCAUGCAUAGCCACAUGCCAGGCCAAUUACAUGCGAAUUUCUGGCGGCGGGAUUCAGACAUCCAAAAUUUCUAAAGCUCCCCAAGUGAUUCCACUGCAGCCAGGGUAAAAUGCAGAUUCAGAUUCAGUAGCUGUGAGCUGGGACCUGAGAGUCCACAUUUCUUUCUCUCCUUUUUUUUUUUUUUUUUUUUUUUUUUCCUGAGAAGGAGUCUGGCUCUGUCACCCAGGCUGGAGUACAGUGGCGUGAUCUCGGCUCACCGCAACCUCCACCUCCUGGGUUGAAGCAUUUCUCCUGCCUCAGCCUCCUGAGUAGCUGGGAUUACAGGCUCCUGCCACCACACCUAGCAAAUUUUUGUAUUUUUCAUGGAGACAGGGUUUUGCCAUGUUGGCCAGGCUGGUCUCGAACUCCUGACCUGAGGUAAUCCAAUCUCCUUGGCCUCCCAAAGUGCUGAGAUUACAGGCGUGAGCCACCGUGCCCAGUGGAGUCUACAUUUCUAACAAGCUCCAGUGGAUGUGGAUACAGCCGGCCCCCAGCCCACAUGCUGGAGAGUAAAACCUUAGACAUGUGCAAGACCCUUUAUUUCAGAGUUAAUUUUCGGAAAAACAAGCCUGGUUUCCUUGGAGGAGUCCUUGCUGGGAACGAGUCCGUCCUCAGGUGAUGCUGCCUUGCCAGGCCACAUCCCUGGUAUUGCAGCCACUCUGCCAGAUCGGUGGCAGUUGGAGCACCACCUUCUGCCUGCCCCACCGUUCCUGCCAGGCUCAGCUGAAGUUUUGCCCUACAGUUGGGGGAAGUAAGUAUCAGACGUGUGUGCGGUAAGGAAAAAUCAUUUUACGGGGAAAUCUACUUUGACUGAGAGUUAACAAAAUCAAGUUGGAAGAGGGGCAUUUCAGUUGGAAACUAGGGAACAUUUUUCCCCGUGGCACUUUAUUAGACAGCGGAAUGAGUUUCCCGGGCAGUAGCGGCCACUUGUUUCAUUUAAAAAGACCAAUAUACAAGAGGUGCUGGCAGAGGGAUAGAUGAAGUGACCUAAGAGGGUUUCUAUUGCUCCAGCUUCUGUUGCCAAAUGAAACUCAAACAGCUUUUUCAUAUCUUAAACAGACCUACAUAGAGCAACUGUGAAAAUUCCAUCCAUUAUAAAUACCUCUUUUAGCAGCAGUUCAGAAAUAUGCCUCUUGGGUCCCAUUCAUCCUCAGUAGAUGGGAUUUGGACGGCCAGGUGGGAGAGGACUUGUGGCUGGGGAGAAGGAAGGUAAGGUCUCCCCGCCGCAUCUCCGGAUCCCAGGCCGAGGAAGUGGGCCUGGAGAAGCAGAGGUAGGGCGGGCAAUCACUUCUUCAACUUUUCUUACGGUGUUUUACAAAAUGAUGCUGCCCUACCUCUCACCAAGUAAACAAUGCAAAGCAGGUGACCAUUUGCAAACAGGUUUUCCAGGGGCAGCUGAAUUCCUCACGAGGCUUCGAGUUGAUCACAUCCAUUUUGGGUCUGAUGACCCUGGCCACGCGGGAGGAGCAGGCAGGUGUUUUCUCUCUGGCUAAUCCAUGGAAUGGGCCGCUUGGAGACAGGCGUGUGUGAAAUUGCUUUUCACACCGUUAGGGAGCUGGGAUGAUCUCUCAACAGCGUAACUGCAUGUGAACACUGGCUGGAAUAUUUUCAUUUUAGAAAGGAUCGGAGCAAAGUUCUCAUUUUUCGUCAGAGAUACACUGGAGUAUGCAGAAGUCUUUCUGUUCCCCUUAACAAGGUGAGUGAAGAAUGCAGGAACAGUGCAAGAAACAGAUUAGACUUAAGAAGUAAAGCAACUUCCCUGACCGACUCAGAUUUAUGGCUUUAAUUAGGAAGGCCAACCAGGGUCCUAGGAAAAGCAGAGGAAUGACAGACCUGGGUUCAGAUCUCAUUUCUACAACUUGUUAAUUGUGAGAUUUUGGGCAAGAACCUCAAACAGACUUCGUUUCCAGUGGGAACAGUCAUACCAUCAAAACCAGUUGGAGUUCACUGUAGCAGAACUUGUAACAAAGCCUGUUUACUCUCUGCAAGUGAGUCAUUAUUCCUCACUGACAUGGUUUGGAUCUGUGUCCUUGCCCAAAUCUCAUGUGGAAUUGUAAUCCCCAGUGUUAAAGUUGGGGCCUGGUGAGAGGCAAGUGGAUCAUGGGGGUGGAUUUUCCUCUUGGUGCUGUUCUGGUGAUACUGAGUUCUCAUGAGAUCUGGUUGUUUAAAAGUGUGUGGCCCCUCCCUGCUGUCUCUUGUUCCUGCUCCUCCAUGUAAGACACCUACUCCUGCUUUGCCUUCCACCACAAUUGGAAGUUCCCUGAGGCCACCCCAGAAGGAGAAGCCUCUAUGCUUCCUGUACAGCCUGCAGAACGAUGAGCCAAUUAAACUUCUUUAUAAAUUA